GAGAUUCCCCCAGUAGCGGCGAGCGAACGGGGAGGAGCCCAGAGCCUGAAUCAGCAUGUGUGUUAGUGGAAGCGUCUGGAAAGGCGCGCGAUACAGGGUGACAGCCCCGUACACAAAAGCGCAUGUGCUGUGAGCUCGAUGAGUAGGGCGGGACACGUGGUAUCCUGUCUGAAUAUGGGGGGACCAUCCUCCAAGGCUAAAUACUCCUGACUGACCGAUAGUGAACCAGUACCGUGAGGGAAAGGCGAAAAGAACCCCGGCGAGGGGAGUGAAAAAGAACCUGAAACCGUGUACGUACAAGCAGUGGGAGCACAGGUUUACCUGUGUGACUGCGUACCUUUUGUAUAAUGGGUCAGCGACUUAUAUUCUGUAGCAAGGUUAACCGUAUAGGGGAGCCGCAGGGAAACCGAGUCUUAACCGGGCGUUAAGUUGCAGGGUAUAGACCCGAAACCCGGUGAUCUAGCCAUGGGCAGGUUGAAGGUUGGGUAACACUAACUGGAGGACCGAACCGACUAAUGUUGAAAAAUUAGCGGAUGACCUGUGGCUGGGGGUGAAAGGCCAAUCAAACCGGGAGAUAGCUGGUUCUCCCCGAAAGCUAUUUAGGUAGCGCCUCGUGAAUUCAUCUCCGGGGGUAGAGCACUGUUUCGGCUAGGGGGCCAUCCCGGCUUACCAACCCGAUGCAAACUGCGAAUACCGGAGAAUGUUAUCACGGGAGACACACGGCGGGUGCUAACGUCCGUCGUGAAGAGGGAAACAACCCAGACCGCCAGCUAAGGUCCCAAAGUCAUGGUUAAGUGGGAAACGAUGUGGGAAGGCCCAGACAGCCAGGAUGUUGGCUUAGAAGCAGCCAUCAUUUAAAGAAAGCGUAAUAGCUCACUGGUCGAGUCGGCCUGCGCGGAAGAUGUAACGGGGCUAAACCAUGCACCGAAGCUGCGGCAGCGAACGUAUCACUUAAAGCGAUUCAGCGGGUUACGAUUGACGGAGCGAAGCGACGUCAAAGCGUAUACAAAGUCGAGUCGGUUUAAGGAUACGUUCGUUGGGUAGGGGAGCGUUCUGUAAGCCUGUGAAGGUGGCCUGUGAGGGUUGCUGGAGGUAUCAGAAGUGCGAAUGCUGACAUAAGUAACGAUAAAGCGGGUGAAAAGCCCGCUCGCCGGAAGACCAA
rnacentral:rRNA from 1 species